UACGGGGGGGGUAAGCGUUGUUCGGAAUUACUGGGCGUAAAGGGCUCGUAGGCGGCCAACUAAGUCAUACGUGAAAUCCCUCAGCUUAACUGGGGAACUGCGUGUGAUACUGGAUGGCUUGGAUUUGGGAGAGGGAUGCGGAAUUCCAGGUGUAGCGGUGAAAUGCGUAGAGAUGCGGAGGAACACCGAUGGCGAAGGCAGCCCUCUGGGCCAACACUGACGCUCAGGCACGAAAGCGUGGGGAGCAAACAGG
rnacentral:rRNA from 1 species